rnacentral:rRNA from 1 species
GCGUAAAGCGCACGCAGGCGGUUUGUUAAGUCAGAUGUGAAAUCCCCGGGCUCAACCUGGGAACUGCAUCUGAUACUGGCAAGCUUGAGUCUCGUAGAGGGGGGUAGAAUUCCAGGUGUAGCGGUGAAAUGCGUAGAGAUCUGGAGGAAUACCGGUGGCGAAGGCGGCCCCCUGGACGAAGACUGACGCUCAGGUGCGAAAGCGUGGGGAGCAAACAGGAUUAGAUACCCUGGUAGUCCACGCCGUAAACGAUGUCGACUUGGAGGUUGUGCCCUUGAGGCGUGGCUUCCGGAGCUAACGCGUUAAGUCGACCGCCUGGGGAGUACGGCCGCAAGGUUAAAACUCAAAUGAAUUGACGGGGGCCCGCACAAGCGGUGGAGCAUGUGGUUUAAUUCGAUGCAACGCGAAGAACCUUACCUGGUCUUGACAUCCACGGAAGUUUUCAGAGAUGAGAAUGUGCCUUCGGGAACCGUGAGACAGGUGCUGCAUGGCUGUCGUCAGCUCGUGUUGUGAAAUGUUGGGUUAAGUCCCGCAACGAGCGCAACCCUUAUCCUUUGUUGCCAGCGGUCCGGCCGGGAACUCAAAGGAGACUGCCAGUGAUAAACUGGAGGAAGGUGGGGAUGACGUCAAGUCAUCAUGGCCCUUACGACCAGGGCUACACACGUGCUACAAUGGCGCAUACAAAGAGAAGCGACCUCGCGAGAGCAAGCGGACCUCAUAAAGUGCGUCGUAGUCCGGAUUGGAGUCUGCAACUCGACUCCAUGAAGUCGGAAUCGCUAGUAAUCGUGGAUCAGAAUGCCACGGUGAAUACGUUCCCGGGCCUUGUACACACCGCCCGUCACACCAUGGGAGUGGGUUGCAAAAGAAGUAGGUAGCUUAACCUUCGGGAGGGCGCUUACCACUUUGUGAUUCAUGACUGGGGUGAAGUCGUAACAAGGUAACCGUAGGGGAACCUGCGGUUGGAUCACCUCCUUACCUUAAAGAAGC